rnacentral:rRNA from 1 species
UACGUAGGGCGCAAGCGUUAUCCGGAAUUAUUGGGCGUAAAGAGCUCGUAGGCGGUUGUCGCGUCUGCCGUGAAAGUCCGGGGCUCAACUCCGGAUCUGCGGUGGGUACGGGCAGACUAGAGUGAUGUAGGGGAGACUGGAAUUCCUGGUGUAGCGGUGAAAUGCGCAGAUAUCAGGAGGAACACCGAUGGCGAAGGCAGGUCUCUGGGCAUUAACUGACGCUGAGGAGCGAAAGCAUGGGGAGCGAACAGG